rnacentral:lncRNA from 1 species
UCUUUGGAAUCACCACUACCGGUGGUUUGUAUACUGGUACCGGCGGAGGGCAUGGCUUCUUGGGGAUCACAACCGGUGGUUUGUAUAUUGGUACCGGCGGAGGACACGGCUUCUUCACAAUUGGUGGUAUGUAGAUUGGUGGAUGCUCUAUCUUCGGCGGCGGCUUGUAAACCGGAACUGGAGGUGGGUGCUCUAUCUUCGGCGGUGGAAUGACUAUCUUUGGCGGCGGCUUGUGGACUGGAACCGGCGGUGGAUCAACUUUCUUAGGCGGACAAGGCUUCUUCGUUGGUGGUUUGUGGACUGGCACCGGCGGUGGAUCAACUUUCUUAGGCGGACAUGGCUUCUUCGGUAGCUUGUGUACCGGAACGGGAGGUGGGUGCUCUAUCUUUGGCGGGGGCUUGUAAACCGGAACCGGAGGUGGCUUCUCUAUCUUUGGCGGUGGCUUGUAAACCGGAACCGGAGGUGGGUGCUCUAUCUUCGGCGGUUUAGGUGGACAAGGCUUCUUAGGAAUAGGCGGUGGAAGCUCCACCUUUGGUGGUGGCUUGUAAACUGGGACAGGUGGUGGAACCUCUUUCUUAGGCGGUGGAUCGUAAACCGGAACCGGCGGGGGAAUCUCUUUCUUUGGCGGCGGCUCGUAAACUGGUACCGGGGGUGGAACCUCCACAGGAGGACUGUAUUUAGGUGGACAUGGCUUCUUGAGAAACGGUGGAAGUUCCAAAGGUGGAGGUAAAGGGAAAGGAUGAUCAAAGCCCUUAAAAGGAGGCAACUUAGGCAUAGGCCAGAAGAAUUUGGAAACGCAAAUCUCCGGUGAAAAUUUCAGAUUUUGUUUGAGACCCAAAAUGUGUUUAUCCCCGGAUUUGGAUAAAAACACGAUCUUGGUGGACUCAAGGCCGUCGUGAGCCGGACAAGGUGUUCCCGCCGCGCUGUGAAGCUGAGCGUAACACUCCUCCUUUAACGCUCCGUUGUCGGAGACAAUGUCAUGAGGAAUAUUAAGACCAAACUUUCCUUUGUCGUCAAUGUUUCCCGAACCUUUUGUAACAAAAUGGCCUUUAUUCACCUUACAGUCGAUCGUCACUCGAAGUCCUAUAACAAAUAAUAUCACACAUUGAUCAAAUAUAUAUUCACAAAAAAAUAAACUAUAUAGUACAUAAGAUAUUAAUGUAAGUUAUGAGAUACCUGAAAAUGCAUGGGGGGUUUUGAUCUUGCUCUCGGCGUAACCGACAACUUCGACGACACGAGCGAGUGAGAGAGUCGCUGAUAAGAGAACCGACACAAGAAGGAGAAGACACGGAACCGAACCUCGAGGUUCGGGUAAGAUCCUCAUUGGGAUUCUCACCCUCUGAGAUUUCUGACACACUUCCCUUUCGUUUGCUGAAAAUAUAAAGAUUAUAAGAAGAACAAAAACAAACUAUAGAGUAUUAGUGGGGAAGGUGAUGAUAUGAUUAUAGUGAGACUUCUUCUCGUUUAUAUAAUGGUCUUAUCAAAGAUUUUUCUGAAGAUUGAUCGUAAUAAUUACUUCCGAAUUAAUUAACGUUUAGUUUUUUUUUUUUUUACCAACAAUAAUUGGAUUCGGCGGUUCCUAUUAUUUUGUAUUGUGUAUCAUUUAUUUAAUGUCGUCAUGGUCCAUCUUCUCGUUGUUACUUUCGUCUAUGCGGCACUUUAUGAUAUUUUUCAUGCAGGGUGGUUGAAACACAUUGACUUUUUUUUCCUUAAUACGACAACGGCAUUCAAAUUUUAUUUUUUGUUUCCCUCAUCAACGUUAUUGCACGAGACAUAUGCGUACAACUUUUGACACACGAAACUUUUGAUCCGCAAAUAUGGUUAAUUUUAUUGUUAUAGAGAUUGCAGGAUGAGCAUGCAUAUACUUUUUUUUUGUUUCACACACACGCUAUGGUUGAAAAAAGAAACUGAAUUAAUCAGUGCGUGUAUACGGCUCCACCAACCCAAAAUUGAAGCGGAUCACAUUAUGGUUAGAAGAGAAACUUAAAUGUUUUUAUGGAAAAAAUAUAGUCAGUCACACUACUUGUCGGCUUAUAUUUCUUGUCCACUCCGUAUAUAUUUAAGUAAUUAUUUUACCGGAAAUCCAUUACAAUGCUAACAAAUAUUCUUAACAUUUGCAGUUAUGCACGCCAUGAUAUCUACUGUUUUAACCGUAUAUACAUAACAAUAAAAUAAAGUAGCUAGUAGUAAUAAACUAACGAAAUUUGUCAGAGAAGAGGACUGAUAUGAUUUAUUGGCAUUUGGUUAGAUGGAGAUAGAAGUUAAUAUCUAUCAUCAAUCUACUUCGUCUCUGAAGUUAAUUGGCAAGGCCCUUCAAUAAAAGCAGCCAGCUCAAAAGCCUACUAGUAUUUGUUCCUUUUUCUUUUUUUUUUCUGGACAAGCUAAGCUAACUACUAUUUGUUCAUUUUAAUUUGAUGAAAAGUGUAUACGUAAACGUUUGAUUACUAAAUCUCGUUUUGUUCGAAAUGAAUAGAAGAGUUAAAGAACACUUAUGGAAUAUGAGAACGUAUCAACUUGAUAACAAAUAAGAACGCAUAGCACUUUUACAAAUUCAACUUUAUAUAUAGUACAAGAAUUCAGCUACAUAUGUAUCGCCGUAAUUUUCUCUGAAAACUAUUAUAUAUUGUUUUUACACAAAUGACCGAUAUCAAAUGUUGAAAUUCAAAACUUUCACCCACUCUUCAUUGCUAGUUGCUACUAAAUCCUUACACGUUCUUAUGCAAAAUUAGCAAUAUUAUCUGAUGUCGCAAAAUUGACAUGAUGCAUAUAUAUAUGGGUGCAUGCAAUGCAAUAGCUAGUCCGACUUUCGAAUCGAGAGACGACCUGAUUAGAUAUAUAAAAAGAUAAACUACAGUCCUGACUGCGUUCUAGGUGUUAGAAACUUACAACGCGAACUAGAAAUACAGAAUUGAGGAUUAUAUGUGAACGAUAUCAUAAUGUUGGUUGCCAUAUUAAAAGCUACACCUACUCAUCCACGCCCAUUAAUACGGUGGCUUUGGACAGUUGUACAAUAAGAGGUUCAAGUUUAAAGUUAUUAUUGUAUAUUCAUUUUCUGGUAUACAGAAGAAAUAUAUACUUUCAUAAUGUACACAUAAUCGCUAAUAAGGCCCAUUCUUAAAUGUACGUAAAAACAUGUAUUCAAUAGCCUAAUUGUGUAGAUGGUGAGUGUAUAUAGUCGAUCGGGGUAUAACCUAUAGCGACUAUCUAUGCUUCCUUUAUAAAAAUAAAUAUAUGAUCGCUAAUUUAAGCAAAAACAGAUGUGUCUUAUGGAAAAUUCUUUUUCCAAUAGAUAUCUAAUUAUAUAGAGCUUAACUUUUUUUUUUUAUAUUGCAUUUUGCUUUAUGUAUACUAUUAUGAUGUAUAAUAACAUAGUUAAAUAUGCUAUUUAUAAUGAAAACACAACCUUAUCGUGUGUUUUAGCAAAACAAAUCACAAAUUGUCUGUACACAAAAAAUGUUUUUUUUUCAAAACAUUCAGAGUUAAAAUUACAGUAUGUGAUAAAACACUUGAAAGUUAUGUGCGUAUAAAACAAUCAAUGUAUAAUAUAUAUGGAUUUUACAGCCCUAUGUAUAAGAAAGAUAAACCCUAUAUAUAUUAGGUAGCAAACUAGCAAUAAUAAAUGAAGUGAGAAAGAAAAAAAGUAGCAAGAAAAUAAAAAGAUCUAAUUUUUGGGCAACCAAGGAUAUAGUCCCACAUGGUGUGAGUUUUGCGAUAUUAGUUUUGUUAGGUGACAUGCGAUAAAUAUGUGAACUGUAUAUGGUUCCCCACAUUGAUUAAAUCGAAAAUUGUUUUAUGUAUGUAUGAAAAUUUGUUUUUUUUCUCUCCAUAUGUAUGAGGCGUACGUAAAAAUAUCCCGACGAAUGCAGAUCUGGAUGUUGACAUAUUCUCUGAAUAUACAGUUACAUUGUUUAUAAAAACUCACAUAGAUAUAUUGAAUGUAAAGGACAAAAGGACCCAGAGAUUUUUACUACUUGUAGAAGUAAAACACAAAGGUUGGUGUCCAGAAUUGUACGGAUGGAUUGAAAAUGUGCGAAAUAAUAUAUAAAUGCUACUUAUCUAACAAAAGUAAAACAAUGUUGAUACAUCUUAUAUCUGACAAUGUCACCAUGGGUGCAAUGAAUUCGAAUUCAUACCCAACUCGAAGCUAUAUGUACCAAAACAAAAUCGACUGAGGUUAUUCAAGUCAUUUUUUAUUUAAUCAUGUAACUCAAUUUGUUGGAAAGUUAAUAUUAAUUUUUGAAUAGAGACAAAUCUUUUCAGUCUAAUCAUUAACAAUUUGCAAACUCAAUAUACACCAUACAUCCAAAAAAGUCUUAAGCAAAAGAGUCAUCACGAUCGAGGUCACCAUCCUCCUCCAUUUUGCUGAACUGGAGGAAAUGAGUGGGUCGAUGGACUUGGUGAUAGUAUUCCUUGGGGGUUCCGAGUGUCAAGCUGUAGUUUAUGCUCACCGUGUGAUUCGCUCCCAUGAAGUUGUAGUUCCAGGGUCCGUUCUCAGGAACCUAUCAUUCAACAAUGUCUCAUUAUUUCAGUGCUAUAUAAUAAAAUAAUAUCUAUCAAUCAAGGGCAAACACACAAAAAUCAAGGGGUUACUGUGUGUUCUCACCAUGUAGAACCCGAAGAAACGGUCACUCAAGAGCAUUUGGACCUUCUCGUAGUGGGUGGGAAGGUAACCGUGGGGAUUGCUGCCUGUGUCUUUGUUCAGCCGUCCCCAUUCAUAUCCGGCUUGCGUCAGCUUAUAUGACGUCAAAGAGCAUGAGCCCGGAGUGAAACUACAUGUCAGGAUGAUGCAUUUUUCUGCGUCCCAUUGCUUGUUGUUCUCCAGAACACGAGUGUGAAAAGUCACAUCCUACAGCAGCACAAAAAAAACCCAGUUAUUACGUGUAAAAGUUCGUAAGAAAGUAUAAAUAUAUAUGCAUACCUGUGGUGACAACUGAGGAAGCUCGUUAGGCUGUGUGUGUAUCCAUCCCAGGGGCUCUAAAUCAUCCAAGAACUGAUGUUCCGGAAGAGACGACGGCAGUUGAACUUGCUGGUGAUUUCCGCAUUGUGGCACCAUCACAACACAACGGAUUUCCUUCACUUGAGGAUUAUCCGGCGGACUUAUCCCAUAUAAAUAUCCAGCAAUUUGAGUUCGAAGAUCCGCUAUGCAUAUAAACUUCUUCAAUAUGUUCUUUGGCAUGAUGUAGGUGUAUCCAGUUUCCUGUGAACAACAAACAAAUAAGUUUUAGGGACUUUACUUAUUAAUUUGAAUAAGCAAGUCUGAGCGAAUUACCUUUAUGUCAUCUGAGUUCACGUAGAUGUGGUUGACCCUGAGGUAGAGGUUAGUAGCUGAAAUUGCGCGCACACGCCAGUCUGUUUUGGAUCCGAAUGCAGAUUGCUCGUACGGACUAAUGGUGGUGCUAAUCAAUUCAUCACCAUGAACAUUUGUGGUUCUUGUUGUGACUGCAGUAAGCUGGCUCGCUUCCUUUGCCUGCAGGAGGAAACAUAUUCUUUUUAGAGUAACCAAAAUAAAUCUAAUUUCUGAAUGUCCCUGUUUCAAGAACCCUUGAGAGAAGUGACAGUUACAAGUACCUGUUUCUCAAUCUCAGCUAUCUGUUGCCUCUGCUGAGACGGUGGAGUAAUCUCCGCUCCAAGUAUUAUAUCUCUUAUCUCUGAUUGUGUCAGAGCUGAUGUAUUUACUUUGUUCUUCUUCGCGUAGUCGGAAAGGAUGAGAUCUCUAAGAGCAACCUCCACCUGAAUGUAACAAUGAAUCAUCUGAUGUGAGUAAGGAAGGAGGAUAACAACUUCACUAAACAAAGAAAAGAGUUACUUGAUUUUUAUUCAAAAAUAAGUAGAAACUGCAGAUGAAAAGACCAAGCGGUCUAAUCAGAAAAUACAACGGAACACUACUUGAAAGGUGGCGCAAGGGUUACCUUCAUCCAUUGGUCGUCAGUGAGAGAAGGCCAAAUGUGAUUUGGCUCAGUGACAACAGACAUGUCAGGCUUCAAUAACAUCUUUGCCUUCUCAUUGUUUACGUGAAGAGCACGAAGGAUCAGGAUGAGUCUUUGAAAGGCAGUGUACGAAGAAACAGUCAUCAACCAAUCAUCAUAGAUAUUGAAGAGGGCCAUCUGCGGCUCUGUGGCCUUCAAAAUCAGAUCACCAAAUUUUUCUAUCUUAAGACAAGCCUGGAACGGAAGCUGGAGUUCACUUCCCUUUAUAACAAUGUUUGGGAAAUCCAGCAGAUGAACCUCAAGGGGAUCCAACAUUCCUUUACGAGUCACAAUAACUUGUUUUGGCUGUUCUUCAACAGGGAGAGACCGCACAAGUGCAGCGACCUCUUCAGCAGUUUUCCAUUUUGCAAGCUGACCAAGGCGCUUCUGCCCAGCCCAAACGCUUGUAUGAAUGAUCUAGUGAGACAAAGAUCCCCAAUGGGUGUUAUUAUAGUUUUUUCAGAUAAAACAGCGGCUACGUAUUACAAUACAUUUACAUGUUACUAGUGGAAUUUAUGGGAGAGAAAAUUACCUUAAGGAAUAGUUGCCCUGUUCUUGGGUUGAAAAUAAAAAUCACACCAUUGAUUGGCUUUGUUGUUAGAUUUCCUUCAAAUGUCUUGUGGAUUGUGACACGGUAUACAUUGGUAUCAUCAACAAACCAUAUGAUCUGAUUGCUGAAUAUUUCACCAUAGUUUUGAGAUGACAGAUAUGGCUCUGUAGGCUCAGAUGAGUACAACUGCAAACCUUUCCUUAUCCUCUCUCUCAACACGUAUAGAGCGGGAUUUGACUGUAACAUUUAAAGUUUACACAAUAAGAGUCACAUAUGUAAAAGCCAAAUAAAAAUAAGCACACCACGAAUAGAAGUUCUAGUACCUUCAUGAUCUUGUUCAUUGCUUGAGCAAGCAGAGGUUUGGAACCAGGGAACCAAUUACCAAAGGCGGAAUGCAAGUUGUAGGCCAAAUCAAGCCCAAUAAUUACACCUGCGAUGAUUUCAUCAGGAUAUGAGACUUACUGCAGAAAAAAAUAAAUUGACAAACUGAAAAAGGCUAUUAAGUACCCGUUGGAGAUGGAUAGAUAGACAUGUUGUCCGUUGUGUAAUCCAUGAAUUUGGCCUUAGUAUAGCGUUCAAUAUCAUGGGAGUCAUAAUCUCCCCAUCGAAGUUGCACAUCUAUCCAGUACUUGUUACUCGCUUUCUGAUCAAACACAUCCUUGGACUCAGCGAUUAGACUAGGCUUAGACAUUGGCCAUUUAUGGGCAGCAAACAGAAGAACAUCAGCACAAGAGCUAUUCAUUUUGUAACUCUUCCGUGGAUGAAUUGUCUCUUUCUGCACAGUUUCUAUCUCCAAAGGUUCCAACUCUUGAUCCAGUACUUGGCAAAGGUCCAUAACAACACUCUCAUGGAUUUUUUGCCACAAAUGAGCACGGAAUAUCUGAAUCAAAGAUAUUUUAAGAGUAGGAAUCUUUCCGUGCAUAUAUAUUCCUGUCAAAUCCAACUGCACUUGGAAACCCACAUACACAUUCGCUCGAUUAAUUGUUGGCGACCACCAGAGCGUGAAUCUUCUAUUCGGAAUCUGGUUCAGACCAGACCUCUGUGCAUUUGUCAGUUUCUUAUAUUUCAUAGACUCCUCAAAACCAGAUGCCUUCUCCCAAAAAAGACCCUCCCAAGUUGGAAAGCUGGAUUCAUGUAAAGAAAAUUAUUUUAGCAAAAUUGAUACGGAAAGCUGUGAGCAACAAAACAUCAAAUGUCAAUGUGAAAGAAAGAACAUAAUAAAUUGAGCACGAACGAAAAGCAAGACUCACUAUGUUCCUUUAAAUAAGGUGUGCUCAAGAAUACCCUCAACACCUCCAAGAGCUUGGAUGACAUCAGUUCGGUAAUUGUUCAAGUUCCACAAUUUACCAUCAUGCCUCUGGUGUGUCCACCAGAAAGGAUUUUGUUUCAGGGCUUGGUACUGUUUGAAGUCGGUCCGGACCCUCCAACCUUUAUCAUAUGCUAAAGUGUGCCUAUCCUUCUGGAACAGCGUAUUUAUACGCGGAAUUCCCCUAUCCCAAGAGUCCUGUCAAAUAUUUUUUAACAUGAGUUAUUAUACUCUAAAAAUUAAACAUCAAGACUUCCCAAUCAAACUUUUAUUCUACCUUGUCGAUCUCCAAAAGAGAACAAGGCAACACUUAGAUAUCCUCUAAAAAUCCCUACAUCAAGUAGUUGACACACACAAAAAGCUACUUAAAGACCAGCAAAAGAGGAUAAAGCUAGCAAACUGAUAUCUUCUCAGAACUAUAAACUACGUAAAGAGGCAACAAAAUCACGAGUAAAAUACUUACUUCCAGAUCCUCCAGCGUCAGACGUCUAUUUUGGGCCUGAGCUUCCUGCCUCUUCAAAGCAUACUCUGCCCACACCCGCUGUGAAUCAAUAAAUUCGCUUUCCCAUGGUUGUAUGUAACGGUAAAGAUUAGGAAUCAGUUGAUCCUCCUCGUGGCUCAUUCCACUCCUGAAAUGGCUUACACCAACAUCUGUCUGGUUGCUGUACCGAAGGUCACUUUGUGGGAUCAAAAUAUGACCCAUAGACAACAUCCCAAGCCCGCCAAUUUCUUUCGGAGUGUAGAAGAUAACAGGAGGAAAUCUACCAAGGAAAAGAUGAACAAUCAGGUUUAAAAAACAUAACAUACAACUAUGAUACGUCAAACACAAUAUAGUAAGAUAGCAUUUGCUCACCGACUAGGCAUCUUUGAGUUUAGCCCAAUCUUAACCCUCGUUUGGAUUUUAUUUUCACAUUUAACAAGCAGAUCCAAGAGCUCUUGCGUAUGCACAGUGGCUUCACGGAAGUAAGUCAUGAGGCCUGUAUAAAACAAAUAAACGUGCUCAGCUUCAUGCUAGCCAAACAUUAUUAAACGUAAUCAGUACUGCCAAAAGAAAGGCGUACUACAGGAUAUACCUAUCAGAGCUGUAUUCCAUUUAUUGACGAUUUUGGUAAAUGUGGUUGACCCUGACGACAUAAGAAUCUGCCUCACACGAUUCUCAAACACCUUCAUGUGUUCAUCAUCAGCCCGCAGAAAAGCAACUGCAGUCCUCUCUUUAGUUUGUUCAUUCUGCAGAUUCCAGACACCAUCCCUUGUGCUGCUAAAAGCUUCUUGACCCAUCCUGAUUUUUGGAAGCACGCGGACUUCAAAUCCACACCUGCAGGCAAGAAUGCAAACCCCAGUCACUAUUUAAGCUGCACUAUCAAACAAUGACAAAAACAAAGGCCUAGCACUAAUGUACAAGAGCCACUAGAAAACUGAGACAAAACGCAUACAUGCUGAAAAGCAAGUUUGGAUUAUCCUUGCUGUACACGGAGACGAAGCCAUUCUCCCACUCCAAGGUUGUGAUGCUCCGUGGAAGACGAUUCUUCAUAUCCCAGAAGACACUUCUACCAAGAUUGACUGCAAGAUAAAUAAAUAAUGAGACAACAUCUGGUGCAUAAUGAUAGUCUAUCUAAAUAUAAAAAGGAGCAUACCAUCAUGUUUCAUUAACCUCAUCCUUGCAUCUCUUGGCCAGCAUUUUUUAUUGUUAUAUCCCACCAUGUUUUCAUUGUUGGGAUCAGGACGCUCGGUGAGAUGACGUUGAAUAAGAUCCCUAGCCUCUUCAUGGGUAAAUUUAAACAUUAUAUGCACUUUGUCUAUAUACCGAGAAUACAGUCUUAUGGGAUGGCGUGUCUCAACUUUUGUAUCCCAGUAGGUCAUAAACUCAUUAGGCCUCUGCGGUGGCCCGGCAAUUUCACUUGCUCGAGUCAAACCAAGGAGCAAAAGAUCUAACACUAGUCCAUAAAACUGAACAACAAACGAUGCGAACUGCAGUCCCCUAAUGAGUCCAUACGUAUUAGUAUAGCUCAUAUCCUUGUAAGACAGCACCACGUUAUUCUUGCCAGUCACAUAGUUUGCAAGCUUGGGAUCAAGAACCAAACGAAGAAGGCUGAAAGAAACAACAAAAAAGACGUGUUACUACAGAAAGUCUAAGUUCUAUGUCUGUAAUCACAUAAGCAUUUCACAGAGAGAUACCUGUUCAACACUGUCAAAUCAAUCUUCUCAAAGAGUUUUUCAAACUUCGUCUGGAGCAUCACUACACACUGACCAUCACUAGUGUCCCAUAUGCCUUGCAAAUUAUUGAUACCUUGACACCAUUUGUAAACCAGGAGCGGUGGCGGCUCUGAGUCUGCAGGCUUAAUCCAAUUGGGAAACAAGUGGCGCUUGUCACCCUCAUACCACAAAUACUGAUCAAGAUAAGCAUCAGUAAUUUUCUCCAGGGGAUCAAUUUGAUAGACUGGAAUCAAAUGGCUAUAUAGAUCCAUAAACUCUAUGCCAACCUGCAGAAAAAAAUAAUGUAUUCACCAUCAGAAUAACAUAGUAACCUUGAGAUCUAUAUGUUCAGAAAACUGCUCCAGAAUAGGUGCAUUAUCAACUUACUUCUUUGAAGCUAUGCUGAGUGAGAAGAUGACGCUUUAUUCGCAUCAGAGCUUCAUGAGGAUUGUCAUAAGCUUGUUCAAUUAAACCAAGCUCUUCUCUCUGCUGUUGAUUCAACUUCACAGCUGCACUAUAUGAUUCUUUCAGUCUCUCAAGGGCCAAGAUAAGCAACUUUGUGUCAUGUUUAUAUGAUAAUGGAGGGAAUGGGAUUGCUGAAAAUUUUCUAGAUUCCAGCCAAUUUACAGUGGUGCUAUAAAUUGCAAUUCCUUCAUCCGCUGUGACAUAUGGACCAUCUUUCUGAAAAUUAUGUUGUCGUUCCUGCAACAAUUUUACAAGGAAAAUGUAUUACAGAACUGGGCAAUCGAGAAUAAAAGGAACUAAAUUCAAUCAGACAAAAAAAUGAAGCCUCUUCGUAACCAUCUUUGUCAAACAACAAUGAUUUUGAUUUUACGAGUUGUGACAAGGUACAGACCUGUUCUGCCUUGAGCCAAAGACGGGUCAACCGUCCAAGAUUCUUUCUACAAACUGUCUUAUCAACAGUAGCCCCUCUUCUGAUACGUUCACGAUUGUAGUGAGCAACAUUUGUCCACCAAUCAGCUUUAGACUUGACAUAUCGGAGGAUCAUAUUCUCAAUUGCCACAGGUAAUCCAGGGACCUUCCAUGGUAUAUUAGCUUUCCAACACCGCCAUGCCUCACUAAGGUGCUGCAAUAUCGUCCGCGCCUUAUUUUGCUUAAUACCCUCUGCACAUUAGAAGACAGUAUAAACCAACAAGGAAGAGAUAAAAUUAAAGGAAAUCGACCUUGAGAAAAACAAAUCAGUUAUAGACGCAAGAAGCGAACCUGGCAUUGCAUCAACAACAUCAUGCAUGACAGCAGCUCGAAGCUCCAAAUCAAAAUGGCUUUCAACUCUCUGUUUUGUGACUGUUUUGGCCACUCCCUUUGAGUGACGCCCCUCAAAUUGACGUGCAAGCAGAUUCCCUAACCAUCGUUCUAGAAGAGGAACUAUUCCGCGAAGGAAAAACAACCAUACCCUCCACAUUGGAGCCCAAAAUCCACACCCUGGUCCUUUACCCACAGGACCAGUAUUGAAACGGUAAUAGAUCAAGUGUUUCAAAUCCUUGCACAUCCUGAUUUGUCUCAUAAGCCUGUACUUAUAACGAUACAUACCUGUCAAUUGCCCAACAUGGGAGAAAAUAUAUUGCAGGCCAUCAGCCAAUUGAAAGGCAUCAACAUUACCAAGUCGGAACUGGACAUUUGCAUCAACUACAAGUUUUGUCAGCCGGAGGAUCUCACGGCAGAGAUGGAAAGCAUUUCCAAAACGCGACUUCUUUCGUUCCUUGGUUGUCAGAGUUUUCACAGGCUUGAGGUUGAAGUUAUAAUCAAGGUGCAGGUAGUUCAAAUUCUUCCUGUGAAUCAACAGGUUCAGCAUAUUAUACCCCUGCCGGCAGACUUGCAGACCCACUUCAACCCAAUCCAGUUCGGUGCUCUGAAAAAACUUUGUAGCUGCAAGAGAUCGAAACAAAUGCUUCUUCUUCUGAGCCUUAGGGGGUCUAUGGUGCAGCUCAUUCAGUAGAUAACAUUUCAAAAGCUUCUGGUAACUAACCCGAACUUUGACAGGAUAUGCUGGAGGACUGCAGAAAAUGAGAUAACUAAGAAGUUAAUACAAUGUCUAGUAAAUUUCAAAAGGGGAAAGAGAACCACAGUAGCAUCAGAAAAAUUAGCUUACCAGUGCUCCUUAAACCACUCUGCAACAAGGGGUAUAUCUUCAGCCCGCCGAGUCCUCCCAGACCUCAUAUUGAAAGGCCGAGGGGCAAACAACAAUGAAAUGCCAGGAGCUGUAGUGUCAGUGUAGAGUGGCGAGUUAUUUAGCAAAGGUUCCAGUCCUUCUGGU